rnacentral:lncRNA from 1 species
ACGUAAAUAAGGGUAAAGAUACAGUAUGUUCAUGGGUCAGAAUAUUCAAUAUUAAGAUGUCAAUUUUCUCUGCUUCAUCUAUAUAUUCAACUUACGUAAUGUCAACCAAAAUCACAGCUAGUUUUUGAAAAAAAAAUUAACAAACUGAUGAUAGAAUUCAUAUAGAAAUGCAAAAAAAACACCCAGCUAAACAACUUUGAAAAUGAACAGCAUUGGAGGACCAAUACUAUCUGAUUUCCAGAUAUUAUAAAGCUACAGCAAUCAAGAUAGUGUGGUAUUGACAUAAAGACAGAUAACUGGAACAGAGAGUCGAGAACAGUCUCACACAUAAAUGAUUGUUUCUCAACAAAUGAUGCUACAACAGUUGUGUUUCAAUUAUGCAAACAUAUCAAUUUCAAUCUAUAUCUUCCACUCAGUAUAAAAAUUAAACUAAAAAUGAAUCACAGACCUAAAACUAUGAAACAUCUAGAAUUAAAAAUAGACAAAACCCCUUAUGACCCUAGGUUAGGCAAAGAUAUUUAAAAUACAACACCAAAGCACAAUCCAUAAAAGAACAAAGUGAUGAACUGUACUUGAUAAAAGCAUCUCUUCAAAAGACAUUGUUGGCUGGGUGGGAUGGCUCACACCUGCAAUCCCAGCACUUUGGGAAGCCAAGGUGGGAAGAUCACUUGAGCCCAGGAGUUCGAGACAACCUGAGCAACAUAGUGAGACCUCAUCUCUACAAAAAAAUAAAAAAAAUUAGCCAGGUGUGGUUGCAGGUAACUGCAGUCCUAGUAUUUGGGAGGCUAAGGCUCCCAAUAGUUUGAGGCUCUUGAGUCCAAGAGUUCGAGGCUGCAAUGAGCUAUGAUUACACCACUGCGCUCCAACCUGGGCAACAGAGUGAGACUCUGUCUCUAAAAAUAAAUAAUAAAUAAAUAAAUAAAUAAAUAAAAAGACAUCAUUAAGAGGUGAAAAGAUAAGCCACAGGGUGGGAAAAAAUAUUUGUAAAUCAUAUAUCUGAUAAAUGACUUGUAUUUAGGAUAUAUAAAUAAUACUCAAAACUCAAGAAUAAGAGGACAAACAACCUGAUAAAACAGACAAAAAAUGUGAGGAGACACUUCUCCCAAGAAGAUAAACAGAGGGCAAAGAAACUCAAAUGAGAAGAUCCUCAAAAUCAUUCGUCAUUAGAGAAAUGCAAAUUAAAACCACACUAAUAUGCCACUACACACCCAUUAUAGUGGAUAAAAAAACUAACCAUAUCAAGGCAAGGAUGUAGAAAAAUUGGAACUUUCAUACAUUAUUGGUGGAAAUGUAAAAUGGUACAAACAUCUGGGAAACAGUUUAGCAGUUUCUUAAGAUGUCAAAUAGACACCUACGAUAUGAUCCGGCCAGUCUACUCCUAGAUAUUUACCCAAGAGAAAUGAAAGCAUACGUCCAUACAAAGACUUGUAUGUGAAUGUUCAUCUGAGCUUUAUUCAGAAAACUGGAAAUGACUCCAAUGUCCAUCAACAAGUGAAUGGAUAAACAAACUGUGGUACUUCCACACAACGAAAUGUUACUCAGUAAUGAAAAAAAUGAACUACAAAUAAAUCUUGAAAUAAUUAUGCAGAGUGAAAGGAGACAUUAAAAAAAGCAUAUACAUACUAUAUGAUUCCUCUUAUAUAAAAGUCUAGGAAAUACAAGCUAGGCUUGCUCACGCCUGUAAUCCCAGCACUUUGAGAGGCUGAGACAGGUGGAUCACAAGGUCAGGAGUUCGAGACCAGCCUGGCCAACAUAGUGAAACCCCGCCUCUACUAAAAAUACAAAAAUUAUCCGGGAAUGGUGGCACAUGGCUGUAGUCCCAGCUACUUGGGAGGCUGAGGCAGGAGAAUUGCUUGAACCCAGGAGGCAGAGGUUGUGGUGAGCCAAGAUUGCACAACUGCAUUCCAGCCUGGGCAACAGAGUGAGGCUCUGUCUCAAUAAACAAACAAACAAACAAACAGACAGACAAACAAACUAACUAACUAACUAACCUACAGUAACUGAAAGUAAAUCAGUA